GAUGAAAGAGGGAGGCGUGCCUAAUACAUGCAAGUCGAGCGAACAGAUGAGGAGCUUGCUCCUCUGACGUUAGCGGCGGACGGGUGAGUAACACGUGGAUAACCUACCUAUAAGACUGGGAUAACUUCGGGAAACCGGAGCUAAUACCGGAUAAUAUAUUGAACCGCAUGGUUCAAUAGUGAAAGACGGUUUUGCUGUCACUUAUAGAUGGAUCCGCGCCGCAUUAGCUAGUUGGUAAGGUAACGGCUUACCAAGGCAACGAUGCGUAGCCGACCUGAGAGGGUGAUCGGCCACACUGGAACUGAGACACGGUCCAGACUCCUACGGGAGGCAGCAGUAGGGAAUCUUCCGCAAUGGGCGAAAGCCUGACGGAGCAACGCCGCGUGAGUGAUGAAGGUCUUCGGAUCGUAAAACUCUGUUAUUAGGGAAGAACAAAUGUGUAAGUAACUAUGCACGUCUUGACGGUACCUAAUCAGAAAGCCACGGCUAACUACGUG
rnacentral:rRNA from 1 species